ensembl:lncRNA
CUAUGCUCUUGUUUUACUCUGAACAAGGCUAUCAAAAGAACGGUGUAAUAAGCACUUCCACAGCAACAACCACUAUUCCCAAGCUGAACACAGUGAGAAAACUUUUUAUCCAUAAAAAGGUUUACUGCAUACCAUGGGAGUACAAUAAAUCUCAGAAAGAGGAAGGUUUAUAUGACAAAUUACAGUAAAAUCUUUAAUGGUCAAAGGUAACUUUCAGUCUCAGUUAAAAUAUUAUACCUAUACAUUCUACAAAGAAAGUAAAUGGCUAAACAAAAUGUGAAGUACAAAGCUGUUUAUGGGCUAAUUACGCUUCUAGCAGCUAUAUAAGCUAGCUAUUUAAAGGAUUUUAAUGUAAGUAAUAGCUGUAGAUAUUUCCAUAAAUUGACUCUGGAUUCUGCUUUCCACAGUCCAUACGUGCUUACACAUUCAAAUAUAAAAUAUCAUAUAGGAAGGGCAAACAAAUGGAAUGGACAUAUUUUAUGGCUCCAUAGUAAAACCCUCCUACAUUUAUGAAAAGGCAGUCAAUGCUUACAGCUUCUGGUAGCUUAUUUUGGCCUCAUGAACUAUUCAAUAUAGAUUAUAUAUCGGUAUCAUAAACCGAAGAUUAUCGAGACUUAGACUUAACCACUGUAGUUAUGUAUAUAUUUUCUCUGUUGGGAAAACAUAGCCAGCAGAGUAACAUCUAUCCCUCAGGUUUAGCACUAUUUAAAUAUUCAGGCAAAAUCCACCCUGAACUACUGCACUGCAAAACUGCUAGCUUGAUACGCUGGAAUGAACACUAUUAUUCUCUUUAAAUAACACUGAGUCAUUACUACCAGUAAAUGAUUUAAAGGAUAGAUUUGGAUUUACUUCUCAUAGCUGCAUAAAUGCAUUUCCAUCCUCCUGCUUAUAGCAUUUCCAAUGAACUCAGCUCUAAUGCUGUGUCAUGCUUUCGUUUCCCAAGUAAGGGGCGUUGACACUCCUCACCUGAUACACAGCAGAGAUCUCCCAGCUCCAAGCAGAAGCAGAGGUCGGUCAUUCAGCAAACCGUGACUCAGCAACGGUAAAAGCACUCUGCACAUAGGUGAUAAACAGAAGGCGUAAUGUCCUUACAGGAAACAAAAUUCUUGGUAAAGGAAUCCAGAGGAGCUGAACAUAUGAAAGCUUCAAUUAGAUGGAAGAACUGACUCCCAAGCAAGACAACUAUGUGAAGUGUAAUAAAGAUACAUAAAGAACAACCCUUAAUGUGGGAAACACGAGGAUCUCAAAUCAACAAAUGGAAGUUUUUGUAAAUGCAUAAGUAAGCUUUACCAAAUACUGCUUAUGCUAAAUACCAGACUAUGCAUGAGUUCACCAUUCAUCUGCACGAGUUCAUGCAAAUGCAUACCAAAAACCUUAAAUACUGCUAAAGAAUCAACUGUGCAGCUCUCCUUUCAUGCUUCUUCCUGUGUUCUGUCACAGAGAAUCUUCUAUUGGCCACUGUCAAGGAUAAAGUAUCAGAUUUGACAGGCUUUAUGUGGUACUGUUAAAAGCCAUUCUUUGAGUAGAUGUAGGUGAAAAGUGGAAUUGUAAGUUCAGUAGGUAACGACUGUUGCCCACAAAGUAGGAUCCAAUCCUCAAAAUAUCUAGGAAUGCCAACGAUUUUCCUAAAAAAAAAAAUAAUAUAUAUAUUUUUAAAAAGGAGAUUACAUACAUAUCCACGCUCAUUUAUAGAAUGGAGAUCCAAUUAAAAUAUGGUG